GGGGAAUAUUGCACAAUGGGCGAAAGCCUGACGCAGCAACGCCGCGUGAGGGAUGACGGCCUUCGGGUUGUAAACCUCUUUUAGUAGGGAAGAAGCGUAAGUGACGGUACCUGCAGAAAAAGCACCGGCUAACUGCGUGCCAGCAGCCGCGGUAAUACGUAGGGUGCAAGCGUUGUCCGGAAUUAUUGGGCGUAAAGAGCUCGUAGGCCGCUUGUCGCGUCUGCUGUGAAAUCCCGGAGCUCAACUCCGGGCCUGCAGUGGGUACGGGCAGGCUAGAGUGCGGUAGGGGAGAUUGGAAUUCCUGGUGUAGCGGUGGAAUGCGCAGAUAUCAGGAGGAACACCGAUGGCGAAGGCAGGUCUCUGGGCCACUACUGACGCUGAGAAGCGAAAGCGUGGGGAGCGAAC
rnacentral:rRNA from 1 species